GUGCAGCAGGCGCGAAACCUUCACAAUGCACGCAAGUGCGAUGGGGGGACUCCGAGUGCGGUCUUCCAAAACGGAAGGCCGCUUUUCUGCACUGUAAGGAGGUGCCGGAACAAGGGGUGGGCAAGACGGCUGCCAGCCGCCGCGGUAAUAGCCGCACCCCAAGUGGUAGUCAUUGUUAUUGGGCUUAAAGUGUUCGUAGCCGGACACGCAAGUCCGCUGUGAAAUCCAUGCGCUCAACGUAUGGACAUGCAGCGGAUACUGCGUGUCUAGGAACCGGACGGUGUCGAGGCUAUUCCCGGGGUAGGGGUGAAAUCCUAAAAUCCCGGGAGGAGCACCUGUGGCGAAAGCGCUCGACAAGUACGGAUUCGACGGUGAGGAACGAAAGCCAGUGGAGCAAAGCGGAUUAGAUACCCGCGUAGUACUGGCUGUAAACAUUGUGCAUUUGAUGUCGGACAACCUCCGAGGUUGUCCGGUGCCGAA
rnacentral:rRNA from 1 species